UUAGGAUCAGCGGAGGGAGAAAAACUCAGUUCAUACUCACCAGGCAGCAGCUUUAAAUUUGAAGUGAAAGGAGACCCGGGGGCAAAUGUCAGCCUGGUUGCUGUGGAUAAUGCCAUCUUUCUGUUGAGUAAAAACCAUCUGACGCAGAAGAAGGUGUGGGAGGUGGUGGGUCAGGGUGAUAUGGGCUGCACCGCAGGAGGAGGCAGGAAUAAUAUGGGUGUUUUCAGUGAUGCAGGACUGGUGUUUUAUUCCAGCACAGGAGAAUCUACUGACU